UACGUAGGUGGCAAGCGUUGUUCGGAAUUACUGGGCGUAAAGGGCGCGUAGGCGGCCCUCUUUGUCGCGUGUGAAAGCCCCGGGCUCAACCUGGGAACGGCGCGCGAAACGGGGGGGCUGGAGUUCGGGAGAGGAGCGUGGAAUUCCCAGUGUAGAGGUGAAAUUCGUAGAUAUUGGGAAGAACACCGGUGGCGAAGGCGGCGCUCUGGACCGAGACUGACGCUGAGGCGCGAAAGCGUGGGGAGCAAACAGG
rnacentral:rRNA from 1 species